UUGCUAGUGGGUGAAUAUUAGGAGUUCCAUAUAAGUUGAUUGUUGUUGCAUUUGGGUAUCGCCGACACAUGUCCUCAAACUGAUUUGAGGAUAUCUGUUUGUUCUCAAAAUUCAGAUAUCGCCAAAAGUCUUCAUGAGAGCUAGCUGCUCUCCACUGGCUACAUACACUUGCAGCUCGACAAAGAUCAAUAUGGUCCAAAAAGGAGAACACCAUAUGCAACAAGUCAUCAGUAAGAUCCAUCCGCACAUCUAAAUCCUCCAUUUUAGAAUCUUUCCCCUCAUCAUCUGUUGCACCAAGUAAGUUAGAUAAACUCACAUCUCCACCACCCUCGUUCAUUGGACAUAGGUAACUGGUUUCCUGCAACAAGUGGUUGUCCCAAUCCAGCGAAAAGGAGUUAACUUUGGGCCUUUUACUACAGGUAAAAGGAUCAGAAUCCUCUUUCAGCACUGUUGAGGAUGAAGCCUCUCCACUCAAACCCAAAUUCAAAUUAACAUCCAACAUUUUCUCACCACUAUAACUUUCAUUCUUCACCUCCACUGUACUGGAUGUCCAGUUACUAUCAAAAUCAAUCUCCUCAUUCUUGGGAACACCAAGAUCACCUACAGCGCCCGCUUGUGGACUCACCACUGCUGCAACAUUGACACCUUCAAAAACAUUCCUCCAGUCAAAUGCCGAAUUCUCAUCUGGAGAUUCGUCACCGUUAUUCCCCAAAAUCGG
rnacentral:misc_RNA from 1 species